CGAUGUCGAUUUGGAGGUUGUGCCCUUGAGGCGUGGCUUCCGGAGCUAACGCGUUAAAUCGACCGCCUGGGGAGUACGGCCGCAAGGUUAAAACUCAAAUGAAUUGACGGGGGCCCGCACAAGCGGUGGAGCAUGUGGUUUAAUUCGAUGCAACGCGAAGAACCUUACCUGGUCUUGACAUCCACAGAAUCCUGCCAGAGAUGCGGGAGUGCCUUCGGGAACUGUGAGACAGGUGCUGCAUGGCUGUCGUCAGCUCGUGUUGUGAAAUGUUGGGUUAAGUCCCGCAACGAGCGCAACCCUUAUCCUUUGUUGCCAGCGGUCCGGCCGGGAACUCAAAGGAGACUGCCGGUGAUAAACUGGAGGAAGGUGGGGAUGACGUCAAGUCAUCAUGGCCCUUACGACCAGGGCUACACACGUGCUACAAUGGCGCAUACAAAGAGAAGCGACCUCGCGAGAGCAAGCGGACCUCAUAAAGUGCGUCGUAGUCCGGAUUGGAGUCUGCAACUCGACUCCAUGAAGUCGGAAUCGCUAGUAAUCGUAGAUCAGAAUGCUACGGUGAAUACGUUCCCGGGCCUUGUACACACCGCCCGUCACACCAUGGGAGUGGGUUGCAAAAGAAGUAGGUAGCUUAACCUUCGGGAGGGCGCUUACCACUUUGUGAUUCAUGACUGGGGUGAAGUCU
rnacentral:rRNA from 2 species